rnacentral:lncRNA from 1 species
UUGAAUUUUCUGUUGUAUAUUGAUUGUACAUUAUAUGUAUUUAGUUUAGUGAUUCAAUUUUGUUACGAUGUUGCUGUUUCUUUUUGCUUAUGUUUUGGAUUCUGUAAUAUUCGUAUUGAUGUAAUAUUGGGUUGUUUCUAAUUUAUUUCACUUUGUUUCUAUUGUGAUAAAUCGAAUUGAAUAUGCGGGAUCGACACAAUUUAUGUACCGUUAUGCCG